rnacentral:rRNA from 1 species
ACGAACGCUGGCGGCGUGCUUAACACAUGCAAGUCGAACGGAAAGGCCCUUCGGGGUACUCGAGUGGCGAACGGGUGAGUAACACGUGGGUGAUCUGCCCUGCACUUUGGGAUAAGCCUGGGAAACUGGGUCUAAUACCGACUAUGACCAUGCGCCUCCUGGUGUGUGGUGGAAAGCUUUUGCGGUGUGGGAUGGGCCCGCGGCCUAUCAGCUUGUUGGUGGGGUAAUGGCCUACCAAGGCGACGACGGGUAGCCGGCCUGAGAGGGUGACCGGCCACACGGGGACUGAGAUACGGCCCAGACGCCGACGGGAGGCAGCAGUGGGGAAGAUUGCACAAGGGGCGCAAGCCUGAUGCAGCGACGCCGCGUGAGGGAUGACGG